rnacentral:rRNA from 1 species
GGCUACAAUCGUCUCAUUAUCAAUUCUGACAACGCGGGAGUCAUUGACACAAUGAAGAAUGGAGGACAUUCUGCAGGAGCGACGGCUGCAAUCUUUGAGGGUUCUUUUUUAAUGGCUUGUGAUUUUCCUCUUACUAGUUUUGAACAUUGUAAUAGAGAAGCGAACAAAGUAGAUCAUGAGCUUGCUAGACUAGCAAAAUGUUUCAUGAUUAGGGAUUGGAUCCAGGAGCCCAUGGAAAAUAUUGUAUCUUUUCUUAUAGACGAUGUAACAAUUAUUUCUAAUUAA